CCCUUAGAUGUUCUGGGCCGCACGCGUGCUACACUGAGUGGAUCAGCGGGUCAGGUUGCGCGAAAGUGUUUCCUAAUCUUGAAAUCCGCUCGUGAUGGGGAUUGACGGUUGCAAUUUUCCGUCAUGAACGAGGAAUACCUUGUAAGCGCGGGUCAUCAUCCCGCGCUGAAUACGUCCCUGCCCUUUGCACACACCGCCCGUCGCUCCUACCGAUUGAGUGGUCCGGUGAGGCUUUGGGAUCUGAGCAAAGAGAGCGUUUCGCUCGUUUUGCCCGGAAAACUCAGUCGAACCUUAUCAUUUAGAGGAAGGAGAAGUCGUAACA
rnacentral:rRNA from 1 species